AACGCACAUUGCGCCCGCCAGUAUUCUGGCGGGCAUGCCUGUUCGAGCGUCAUUUCAACCAUCAAGCGCCUCGCUUGUGUUGGGGCCCUGCGGCUGCCGCAGGCUCCUAAAUCCAGUGGCGGGCUCGUCGUGGUACCGAGUGCAGUAAACAUCCUCGCUCAGGGAACCCGACGGGUGCCGGCCGUGAAACCCCCCCUCCUUAAGGUUGACCUCGGAUCAGGUAGGAAUACCCGCUGAACUUAA
rnacentral:misc_RNA from 1 species